AACAAACGCUGGCGGCGUGCCUAAUACAUGCAAGUCAAACGGGUAGCAAUACUAGUGGCGCACGGGUGAGGAAUACAUGGGUAAUCUGCCCUCGAGUUGGGGAUAACCAGUCGAAAGAUUGGCUAAUACCGGAUAAGACCACAAGAUCUGCGGAUCAAGGGGUUAAAGGUUUUUCGCUUGAGGAUGAGCCCAUGUGGGAUUAGCUAGUUGGUGAGGUAAUGGCUCACUAAGGCGACGAUCCCUAACUGGUCUUAGAGGAUGAUCAGUCACACUGGAACUGAGACACGGUCCAGACUCCUACGGGAGGCAGCAGUAGGGAAUAUUGCACAAUGGGGGGAAACCCUGAUGCAGCGACGCCGCGUGAGUGAUGAAGGCCUUCGGGUCGUAAAGCUCUGUCGUAUGGGAAUAACACAAUGAAUGUACCAUGCAAGAAAGGAAUCGGCUAACUUCGUGCCAGCAGCCGCGGUAU
rnacentral:rRNA from 1 species